GAUGAAGAACGCAGCGAAAUGCGAUAAGUAAUGUGAAUUGCAGAAUUCAGUGAAUCAUCGAAUCUUUGAACGCACCUUGCGCCCAUUGGCCAUUCCGAAGGGCAUGCCUGUUUGAGUAUCAUGAACACCUCAACUCUUCAUGGUUUUCCGUGAUGAGCUUGGACUUUGGGGGUCUUGCUGGCCUAUGGUCAGCUCCUCUAAAAUAAAUCAGCUUGCCAGUGUUUGGUGGGUAUCACAGGUGUGAUAACUAUCUACGCUUGUGGUUUUCCACCAGGUAACCUUCAGCAGUGGAGGUUCGCUGGAGCUCACAGAUGUGUCUCUCCUCAGUGAGGACAGCUCUUUGAAUGUUUGAUCUCAAAUCAGGUAGGACUACCCGCUGAACUUAAGCAUAUCAAUAAGCGGAGGA
rnacentral:misc_RNA from 1 species